GCCCAAGAUUGAAAGCUGGCGUCUUCGGCGUCCGCAUUGUAAUCUCAAGAAGUGUUUUCCGCUUCGGACCAUGCCUAAGUCCCUUGGAAAAGGGCAUCAUAGAGGGUGAUAAUCCCGUACAUGGCAUGGAGCGCCCGAAGCUUUGUGAUACGCUUUCUAAGAGUCGAGUUGUUUGGGAAUGCAGCUCAAAAUGGGUGGUAAAUGCCAUCUAAGGCUAAAUAUUGGGGAGAGACCGAUAGCGAACAAGUACAGUGAUGGAAAGAUGAAAAGAACUUUGAAAAGAGAGUUAAACAGUACGUGAAAUUGCCAAAAGGGAAGGGUAGGAGGUCAGAGAUGCGGCCUGGGAUUCAGCCUUGCUUUUGCUUGGUGUUUUUCCCAGAUUGCAGGCCAACGUCGGUUUUGGGCACUGGAGAAGGGUAGGAGGAACGUGGCACCUCUCGGGGUGUGUUAUAGCCUCCUACUGGAUACAGCGACCGAGACCGAGGACAGCAGCGUACUCGCAAGAGCGGGCCUUCGGGCACCUUUACGCUUAGGGCGUUGGCAUAAUGGCCCUCUACCACC
rnacentral:rRNA from 1 species